ACGCUGGCGGCAGGCUUAACACAUGCAAGUCGAACGGUAACAGGGAUUAGCUUGCUAAUCUGCUGACGAGUGGCGGACGGGUGAGUAAUGCUUGGGGAUCUGGCUUAUGGAGGGGGAUAACUACGGGAAACUGUAGCUAAUACCGCGUAAAAUCUUCGGAUUAAAGGGUGGGACUUUCGAGCCACCUGCCAUAAGAUGAGCCCAAGUGGGAUUAGGUAGUUGGUUAGGUAAAGGCUGACCAAGCCGACGAUCUCUAGCUGGUCUGAGAGGAUGACCAGCCACACUGGAACUGAGACACGGUCCAGACUCCUACGGGAGGCAGCAGUGGGGAAUAUUGCACAAUGGGGGGAACCCUGAUGCAGCCAUGCCGCGUGAAUGAAGAAGGCCUUCGGGUUGUAAAGUUCUUUCGGUGACGAGGAAGGUUGAUAGGUUAAUAGCCUAUCAAAUUGACGUUAAUCACAGAAGAAGCACCGGCUAACUCCGUGCCAGCAGCCGCGGUAAUACGGGGGGUGCGAGCGUUAAUCGGAAUAACUGGGCGUAAAGGGCACGCAGGCGGUGACUUAAGUGAGAUGUGAAAGCCCCGAGCUUAACUUGGGAAUUGCAUUUCAUACUGGGUCGCUAGAGUACUUUAGGGAGGGGUAGAAUUCCACGUGUAGCGGUGAAAUGCGUAGAGAUGUGGAGGAAUACCGAAGGCGAAGGCAGCCCCUUGGGAAUGUACUGACGCUCAUGUGCGAAAGCGUGGGGAGCAAACAGGAUUAGAUACCCUGGUAGUCCACGCUGUAAACGAUGUCGAUUUGGGGAUUGGGCUUUGAGCUUGGUGCCCGUAGCUAACGUGAUAAAUCGACCGCCUGGGGAGUACGGCCGCAAGGUUAAAACUCAAAUGAAUUGACGGGGGCCCGCACAAGCGG
rnacentral:rRNA from 1 species